GGAGAGAGAAGCGCAAUCGGUCUCUAGUAGUCUUUAUAUUGUUAACGGAUACGUGCAAUGAUCAAUUGGGGCCCCUGAGGUCACUGUCAGCAUUCUCCCUCCACUACACGUUGAAGCCACUCACGGAGCUCCCACUAUCUCUCAUUACUCAACUUCUGAUUCAUUGAUAGUUCAACACACAUUCUGGUUCAACCUCUCGCUGUGGUUUCCACUGUUACAAAUGAACGUUUGAGCCACAGCCUCUUUCCUGGCUCACACCAGUUCACUGCUACAACCUCCAUGUCAACCCCCCCACAGUAAGGCAAGACGUGUUGAUAGUGUAUCCUGCUGCUUUUAGCCCACAGUCUCUUCACUGUUUUAGAAAACCUAACCAGGCUGUUUUGUGGUCCAUUUCAAUUGAAAACAAUUUGUGUUUUAAACUGUGACUGUAAUUCAUGAUAAACCUUUCUCUCUUAAUGUUACUGAGAAUGCCUCUAAGUUGUAAGGGGAGACAUCAGUGUCCAGCAUUGCCUUCUUUGGUAAUUGAUUUUAAGACACACUUAAAAGCCAUGUUUGUACUCUUUAAUCAACUCACUCCUCUGGUGACGUCAGUCCUAAAGAUUUAAAAAUCCAUCCUUCUCAUUACACAGGUUUCACUUAGCUGUGUGAGUGUGUUUGUGUGUGUAUGUGUGCGUGUGUGUGUGUGUGACUGACAAAGUAAAUGCAGAACGGGCUUCCUGUGAGUGAUUUACAGUCAGAAAAAGAGAAAGACCGUAUUAGGCAAUGUUUGGCUCAACGGGAGAGAUCGGUUUUGAGGGUUAUCGCAGCGUGGCUAAAGACACACACACACACACACACACACACACACACACACACACACACACACACACAAAACACACGUUCCCACUCAGGGGCUGGUAGCCUGUGGUCAAAGUGUGAGUGUCUGCACUGUAACACGGCUCCAUCUCAAGUCAUAUUCUCAUUAAACUCGUCCAAAUCAGCUAAGUAACAGUUAUACAUAUAGGGACAGUCAGUACACGUAGUACCACAGUCAGUACACGUAGUACCACAGUCAGUACACGUAGUAACACUGUCAGUACACGUAGUAACACUGUCAGUACACGUAGUACCACAGUCAGUACACAUAGUACCACGCAGCAACACAGACAUGAAUAGGGGAGGUAAGAAAAGUCAAAUGAAAAUAGUUUUCAGGCUACAGACUGACAAGUUCCCAGAUAAAAUAUUUUAAAUAUGUAUGUAUAUAAAAUAUGCUGGCUUAUCGUAUUCUUUGGUUGACCUAAAGGUCCAGACUGCUAGUGAAAAUCACAAUUGCCACAAUUUCCUGCUUUUUUGCAUGCGAUGAGUCCCUAAUGUAUUUCUUCUGGCCGUCAGUUUCCCCCACUUUGCCUUUUCAAACCAUUAUUAGUACUUCUGUUUUUACUCGGUUGAGCUGUAGAAACGCAUAGUCAGGGGGAGGAGGGUUUACAGUUCAGGGUGCUGUGGAUCUCAUUUUUUGGUUCUGAUGGCAUCUUCGGUCUGUGGCGGGGUUUGCAGCCUAGUGGGAAGCAGUCAAGAUGAGGAAUGAGGAAUGACCGAAAGAACUAGGUCACGGGUACUAGCGGCCAAAAUGGGUUUCCUGAGGAGGUCCGCUGGCGUCUCCCUUAGAGAUAGGAUCAGCUCAACCAUCCGCGAGGAGCUCGGAGUAGAGCCGCUGCUCCUUUGCGUCGAAAGGAGCCAGUUGAGGGGGUUUGAGCAUCUGGUGAGGAUGCCCCCUGGGCGCCUCCUCAAGGAGAAACCUAGGACCAACUGGAGAGAUCACAUCUCCACACUGGCCUGGGAACGCCUUGGGAUCCCCCAGUCAGAGCUGGUAGACGUGGCCCGGGAAAGGGAAGUUUAGGGUCCUAUGUGGAGCUGUUGCCCCCGCGACCCGACCCGGAUAAGCGGCUGAAGAUGAGAUGAGAGCGAGCUGUAAAAACGUUCUGUGCUUUGUCAACACCUCCAAUGAAAAAAGCGAAGAGAGGUUUUUACAGUCAGCUGGUAGGUUCAGACCCCUUACAGCAGCUCUGACAUGAUACGUCCCCGCAACGCAUUCCAGCUGUGGGACUCAAGGUCAGCCUGCUUCUGUUUGGUGGAUUAUUGUUUGCAGGUGUGGGGGACGUUGUCCAGCAGAGACCCCUCGCUUUGGGUGAGUAAAGGUGUGCCAGGGCCCCUAUAGGCUGUGAAAGGUGACACGAUAAAGGCCGGGGGGAUCUCUGCGCUGAUGGCCGAACUCAAAGUUCUCCUGGAGUUAACAAAUAGACUUCUUCAGAAAACCAUAGCUCAUUACUUUAUCAAGUCAAAUAACAGAUCUUCAUCUCUAGGAGGAAUUUAAAUUCGAUGAGAAGACCAAUCAGAAGCCAGUGGCCCGCAUUUAGUCCCACUAGGUUACUCUAUGACGUACAACGUGCUGGUAGGUGUGUACUUAACACACAGACAUGAGGAUGUCCACUAACUCUAUGGACUCUGGUUAAAUGCUCACACUGCCCUGGUCUCAUCCACGUGGCUCUUUGUGUAGAAGAAACGCCGUUACUGAGACUCUACUGAUGUGGAGCCGUGGGCCUUGUUCACAGUCAUAUAGUCACUUAUUUCACCGCUUAUUAUUCUUGUCGUUAUCAGAUUUAAUUCUAACAUGCAGCCUUUCAAUGUAAAGCCUCAAAAAUCCAUAAAAAACAUAAACUCAUAAAAAACUGUUUUACAGACACAAGAAGACAUACUGAACUCUAACUUGUGUAUCGGAUGUUACACUGGAACAGGAUGCUGGAUUGAAGCAUGCAGUCAUGUAACACACACACACACACACACACACACACACACACACAGGAGAGGGCAGAUUUUGUUUGUUGGAUGGUUCAGUGAGGGCGACACUUCCCGAGGACAGACCUUUGAGUCCCUACUGUGUGACUGUGCGUUGGUGUGUG
ensembl:lncRNA